AAAUGUUUUGUGGAGAAUAUGGGCAGGCGUUCUAAACUUGCAUCAGAGGAUGUGAAGAAACAAGAGGAGAGUCUUAGCAUUGAAGUUAGAUCACUUUUGGUUGCUGGGACUGCUUUAUCUAAAGCUAGGAAGCGAUUGCAGGAAUCAAAUAGAUUACUCUCUGGGGAAGAAGGAUAUGAUCGUCUUAAAAGCUUACAGAAGACGCUGAGAAGAAGA
rnacentral:misc_RNA from 1 species